UGCUGUUUGCUUUGGCCAUUCGAGGGCGCUGCUUGCUUUAGCAGUUUCAAUGUUAGCUUAAUUGUUUCACUCGGUACUUGCUCGGAAGUUUUAUUAAAGAGAAAACUGGACCAGAGUGAACGGCCGUCGCAAGAGCAGCAUCAUCAUAUCACUGAUUACGAGUAAUAGUUCUGACGGGAACGAGGGGGCCGCCGCCUAGCAUCCGGAGGAGACCUUAACUUUAAAGGGGUCAAAAAGAAGAAAUGCGCCCAUACAAGUGGAGACCAAAAAAAGUAUAUCGAAGAUUCCCUCAGAUGGGUAACAACAACAUCAAGCCACAGACCCCUAGUCAGGAAGAGGACUGGGAAAAGGAGUUAGAGGAGAUUUCACAACGCAUUGAAAAGCAGAAAGAGCCUCCUUAUGAUCCUGGAGAUGAUUUGAGUACUGGAGUAAGGGAGGGGUUUCACUGUAAUGUCCAGAAUGGCCCAAGCUCAAGCCAGGAACACUACAGCCCAGCAAUUCACCACAUUAAACCUGUGAAAUGGGUCCGCUUUAUUUAUGCUGUAGUGGAUGACCAGUUUGCUGAUGCAGAAGAAUAAGGCUGUUGGUUCCUUGUAUAUGUGCUUCCUUUCAGGAAAAAAAAAAAGUUUAUAUAAAAUUUGUUUAUAAGCUACUGAGCCCAGGCUAAUGUUUUAAGUACUUUUGUUGUUUUUAGUGGCCUCUCAGUAUUUGAUGUUAAUUUAUAGUUAUGUUGAUCAAAUCAUUGCUGAGCAUUCAUAUUUGCAAGUUUAUUUCAUUCAUUGAUUUUUGCCAGUUGAAGCCAAUUUGUUUUAAUCUCUAAGCACAAUUUUCAAUUUGAUUACUGUUUAUCUAUUAAAUACUGCAUUACAAUGUUAAUCUGAAUU